CAGCAGCCACGGUAAUACGAAGGGUGCAAGCGUUAAUCGGAAUUACUGGGCGUAAAGCGUGCGUAGGCGGUGAGUUAAGUCUGCUGUGAAAUCCCCGGGCUCAACCUGGGAAUGGCAGUGGAUACUGGCUCGCUAGAGUGUGUCAGAGGAUGGUGGAAUUCCCGGUGUAGCGGUGAAAUGCGUAGAGAUCGGGAGGAAUACCGAUGGCGAAGGCAGCCCCCUGGGCCAAUACUGACGCUCAUGCACGAAAGCGUGGGGAGCAAACAGGAUUAGAUACCCGAGUAGUCCCUGUCUCUUAUAA
rnacentral:rRNA from 1 species